rnacentral:rRNA from 1 species
UUUAACAAUCACAUCACCCUGAAUGUGUCUGAUUUUAUCUGAUCUCAGAACCUAAGCAGGGUCAGCCAUGGUUAGUACUGGAAUAGGGGACUGGGUGGUAAUAGUGGGUGUUGUGGGCU